rnacentral:pre_miRNA from 1 species
AGCCUUCUGUAUCCGUGCUGAGAUUUUGUCAGCCAUCAACCCUCUAGUGUUGAUUGAUGAAACUUCCCAAAUAAGUGAAGUC